GUUCAAAUGAGGAAGGGCUUACGGUGGAUACCUAGGCACCCAGAGAUGAGGAAGGGCAUGGUAAGCGAUGAAAUGCUUCAGGGAGUUGAAAAUGAGCAUAGAUCCGGAGAUUCCUGAAUAGGUUAACCUUUUUAACUUCUGCUGAAUCCAUGGGCAGGCAAGAGACAACCUGGUGAACUGAAACAUCUUAGUAGCUAGAGUAAUAGAAAUAAAAAGUGAUUCCUAUAGUAGCGGCGAGCGAAAUGGGAGCAACCUAAACCGUGAAAACGGGGUUGUGGGAGAGCACAAUAUAAGCUCUGUGCUGCUAGGUGAAGCGGUUGAGUUCUACACCCUAUAUGGUGAGAGUCCAGUAGCCAAAAGCAUCAUUGGGUUACGCUCUAACCCAAGUAGCAUGGGGCACAUGGAAUCCCAUGUGAAUCAGCAAGGACCACCUUGCAAGGCUAAAU
rnacentral:ncRNA from 1 species